UACGUAGGGUGCGAGCGUUGCCCGGAUUUAUUGGGCGUAAAGGGCGCGUAGGCGGCCACGCACGUCCGUUGUGAAAUCGCCCGGCUCAACUGGGCGGGGUCGGCGGAUACGGCGUGGCUGGAGCAAGCUAGGGGGCAAUGGAAUUCCCGGUGUAGUGGUGGAAUGCGUAGAUAUCGGGAAGAACACCAGUGGCGAAGGCGGUUGCCUGGAGCUUUGCUGACGCUGAGGCGCGAAAGCGUGGGGAGCGAUCCGG
rnacentral:rRNA from 1 species